UUUUGAACCCAUUCUGCUUCUUCUAGCUCUACCUCUAUUAGACUCUCAGUGAGGGAAUUUUCACUUUAACUGGUAACACAACUUCUAUUUCAUAUACCAAAGAGAAAAGAAUGGCUCCAAUAGAUGUUCUAACUGAUGUUCUAUAAGCAUGCAAGGUAAAAGGUAAUUUUUUGUGUCAAUCUUUAUAAGUAUCAGUCAUUUUCUCCAAGAUUCUUUUAAUAUUCUUAUUUAU
rnacentral:lncRNA from 1 species